GGGCCCGCACAAGCGGUGGAGUAUGUGGUUUAAUUCGAUGCAACGCGAAGAACCUUACCAGGGUUUGACAUCCUGCGAAUCUCUUGGAAACGAGAGAGUGCCUUCGGGAACGCAGUGACAGGUGGUGCAUGGCUGUCGUCAGCUCGUGUCGUGAGAUGUUGGGUUAAGUCCCGCAACGAGCGCAACCCACGUCUUUAGUUACCAGCACGUAAUGGUGGGGACUCUAGGAAGACUGCCGGCGUAAGCCGCGAGGAAGGUGGGGAUGACGUCAAAUCAUCAUGGCCUUUAUGCCCAGGGCUACACACGUGCUACAAUGGAGGGUACAGAGGGUCGCGAAGCCGCGAGGUGGAGCCAAUCUCACAAAGCCCUUCCCAGUUCGGAUUGGAGUCUGCAACUCGACUCCAUGAAGUUGGAAUCGCUAGUAAUCGCGCAUC
rnacentral:rRNA from 1 species